UUCCGGUUGAUCCCGCCGGACCCGACUGCUAUCAGAGUGGGACUAAGCCAUGCGAGUUAACGCAGCAAUGCGUGGCAUACGGCUCAGUAACACGUAGUCAACAUACCCAAGGGACGUGGAUAACCUCGGGAAACUGAGGAUAAACCGCGAUAAGCCAAGAUUUCUGGAAUGGAUCAUGGCUGAAACCUACAUGGCCCCUGGAUUGGACUGCGGCCGAUCAGGCUGUUGGUGAGGUAAUGGCCCACCAAACCUGUAACCGGUACGGGCUCUGAGAGGAGGAGCCCGGAGAUGGGCACUGAGACAAGGGCCCAGGCCCUAUGGGGCGCAGCAGGCGCGAAACCUCUGCAAUAGGCGAAAGCUUGACAGGGUUACUCUGAGUGAUGCCCGUUAAGGGCAUCUUUUGGCACUUCUAAAAAUAGUGUAGAAUAAGGGGUGGGCAAGUCUGGUGUCAGCCGCCGCGGUAAUACCAGCACCCCGAGUGGUCGGGACGAUUAUUGGGCCUAAAGCAUCCGUAGCCGGUUCUGCAAGUCUUCCGUUAAAUCCACCUGCUCAACAGAUGGGCUGCGGGGGAUACUACAGGGCUAGGAGGCGGGAGAGGCAAGCGGUACUCGGUGGGUAGGGGUAAAAUCCUCUGAUCCACCGAAGACCACCAGUGGCGAAGGCGGCUUGCCAGAACGCGCUCGACGGUGAGGGAUGAAAGCUGGGGGAGCAAACCGGAUUAGAUACCCGGGUAGUCCCAGCUGUAAACGAUGCAGACUCGGUGAUGGGUUGGCUUUGAGCCAACCCGGUGCCGCAGGGAAGCCGUUAAGUCUGCCGCCUGGGGAGUACGGUCGCAAGACUGAAACUUAAAGGAAUUGGCGGGGGAGCACCACAAGGGGUGAAGCCUGCGGUUCAAUUGGAGUCAACGCCGGG
rnacentral:rRNA from 1 species